rnacentral:rRNA from 1 species
GUCCACGCCGUAAACGAUGGAUACUAGCUGUUCGGCGCAAGUUGAGUGGCUAAGCGAAAGUGAUAAGUAUCCCACCUGGGGAGUACGUUCGCAAGAAUGAAACUCAAAGGAAUUGACGGGGGCCCGCACAAGCGGAGGAGCAUGUGGUUUAAUUCGAUGAUACGCGAGGAACCUUACCAGGGCUUAAAUGGGAGACGACAGGACUGGAAACAGUUUUUUCUUCGGACGUCUUUCAAGGUGCUGCAUGGUUGUCGU